rfam:Schistosoma margrebowiei strain Zambia genome assembly, scaffold: SMRZ_contig0000454
GCACUGCUUAGGUGUGCCACAAUAGGACGAAACGGCCGUCCAGUGC